AACGAACGCUGGCGGCAGGCUUAACACAUGCAAGUCGAGCGCCCCGCAUGGGGAGCGGCAGACGGGCGAGUAACGCGUGGGAAUCUACCCAUCUCUACGGAAUAACGCAUGGAAACGUGUGCUAAUACCGUAUACGUCCUUCGGGAGAAAGAUUUAUCGGAGAUGGAUGAGCCCGCGUUGGAUUAGCUAGUUGGUGGGGUAAAGGCCUACCAAGGCGACGAUCCAUAGCUGGUCUGAGAGGAUGAUCAGCCACACUGGGACUGAGACACGGCCCAGACUCCUACGGGAGGCAGCAGUGGGGAACAUUGGACAAUGGGCGCAAGCCUGAUCCAGCCAUGCCGCGUGAGUGAUGAAGGCCCUAGGGUUGUAAAGCUCUUUCACCGGUGAAGAUAAUGACGGUAACCGGAGAAGAAGCCCCGGCUAACUUCGUGCCAGCCGCCGCCGUAAGAC
rnacentral:rRNA from 1 species